rnacentral:rRNA from 1 species
CAGCCGCCACGGUAAUACGUAGGUCCCGAGCGUUGUCCGGAUUUAUUGGGCGUAAAGCGAGCGCAGGCGGUUAGAUAAGUCUGAAGUUAAAGGCUGUGGCUUAACCAUAGUACGCUUUGGGAACUGUUUAACUUGAGUGCAAGAGGGGAGAGUGGAAUUCCAUGUGUAGCGGUGAAAUGCGUAGAUAUAUGGAGGAACAUCGGUGGCGAAAGCGGCUCUCUGGCUUGUAACUGACGCUGAGGCUCGAAAGCGUGGGGAGCAAACAGGAUUAGAUACCCGCGUAGUCCCUGUCUCUUAUACA